rfam:Candidatus Firestonebacteria bacterium RIFOXYC2_FTLL_39_67 rifoxyc2_full_scaffold_133, whole genome shotgun sequence.
GGGGUCGUGGUGCAGCUGGUUCAGCACGUCUGCCUGUCACGCAGAAGGUCGCGGGUUCGAAUCCCGUCGACCCCG